rnacentral:rRNA from 1 species
UACGAAGGGGGCUAGCGUUGCUCGGAAUCACUGGGCGUAAAGCGCACGUAGGCGGAUUGUUAAGUCAGGGGUGAAAUCCUGGAGCUCAACUCCAGAACUGCCUUUGAUACUGGCGAUCUCGAGUCCGGGAGAGGUGAGUGGAACUGCGAGUGUAGAGGUGAAAUUCGUAGAUAUUCGCAAGAACACCAGUGGCGAAGGCGGACUCACUGGCCCGGUACGUAGGACGCU